AUGUCUCUUGUGUUUGCAGGUGUCCAGGCUGAGGUGCAGCUGAUAGAGACUGGGGGAGGCUUGGUGCAGCCUGAGGGGUCCCUGAGACUCUUCUGUGUGACCUCAGGAUUCACCUUUUGGGAUCAUUGGAUGAACUGGACUUGCCAGGCUCCAGGGAAGAGUCUGGAGUGGGUUGAUUUUAUUAGGAACAAGGGUAAUACUCACUCAACAGAACAUGCUACAUCUGUGAAAGGCAGAUUCACCAUCUUUGGGGAUGACUCCAAAAGCACAAACUUUCUGCAAAUGAACAACCUGAAUAUCGAGGAGACAGCGGUGUACCACUGUGCAGGUGAACAGUGA